rnacentral:rRNA from 1 species
UACGAAGGGGGCGAGCGUUGUUCGGAAUUACUGGGCGUAAAGGGCGCGUAGGCGGCCGAUCAAGUCAGAUGUGAAAGUCCUGGGCUUAACCUGGGGACUGCAUUUGAUACUGGUUGGCUUGAAUGCAGGAGAGGAUAGCGGAAUUCCCAGUGUAGAGGUGAAAUUCGUAGAUAUUGGGAAGAACACCGGUGGCGAAGGCGGCUAUCUGGACUGUGAUUG